rnacentral:rRNA from 1 species
CCCCGGCGCCACAAGUGGGAACCACGUUUAUUGGGUCUAGAGCAUCCGUAGCCGGCUUGUUAAAUGCCCUGUGAAAUCGUUCCGCCUAACGGGACGGCGUGCAGGGUAGACUGGCAAGCUUGGAACCAGGAAAGGCAGGCGGUAUUCUGUGGGGAGCGGUAAAAUGCUAUAAUCCACAGAGGACCACCGAUGGCGAAGGCAGCCUGCUUGAAUGGAUUCGACGGUGAGGGAUGAAAGCCAGGGGAGCGAUCCGG